rnacentral:tRNA from 1 species
UCCCUAGUGGCUCAGAUGGUAAAGCAUCUGCCUCCAAUGCAGGAGACCCAGGUUUGAUCCCUGGGUUGGGAA